AAUGCCAUUGAGACUUCAUCAGCAUCUCGUUUAGUCUGAGUAAAGAUAAUAGUCUUUCCACCCUUUGCAUAAACUGUCACGAGAUCACUAAGAAUGCUCCGCUUUGAUGUCGCAGUGGUUGAUAUGGCAUAGAGUUUGAUUCCUUCUGCCAACUUUUCCUCUUGGUCACCAACCAAAUCAAUUUGAAGAGGGUUGUCCAAAUAUUUCCUCGCCAAUUUUCUUUUUCACCCAAGUAGGCAUGGUUGCAGAGAAAAGCAUGCUUUGUCGUUUUGAUGGGAGAUUUUCUAAAAUUACUUCCACAUCUUCCUCAAAACCAAAUGAAAGCAUCUGAUCAGCUUCAUCAAGGACCAAAUACUCAACUUCUCCCAAUUUAAGGCUAUUGCUGUUGAUCAAAUCAAUGAUUCGACCUGGAGUUCCAACCACAACAUCAACCCCACGAGAAAGAGCAUUUCGCUGUGUGAUAUAUGAAACCCCUCCAUAAACACAAACAGUAUUCAAGUAAUGUGCAGUCUCAUUAAUUUCUUUCUCCACUUGCUUUG
rnacentral:misc_RNA from 1 species